GAUGAACGCUGGCGGCGUGCCUAAUACAUGCAAGUCGAGCGAACAGACGAGGAGCUUGCUCCUCUGACGUUAGCGGCGGACGGGUGAGUAACACGUGGAUAACCUACCUAUAAGACUGGGAUAACUUCGGGAAACCGGAGCUAAUACCGGAUAACAUGUUGAACCGCAUGGUUCAACAGUGAAAGACGGUCUUGCUGUCACUUAUAGAUGGAUCCGCGCCGCAUUAGCUAGUUGGUAAGGUAACGGCUUACCAAGGCAACGAUGCGUAGCCGACCUGAGAGGGUGAUCGGCCACACUGGAACUGAGACACGGUCCAGACUCCUACGGGAGGCAGCAGUAGGGAAUCUUCCGCAAUGGGCGAAAUCCUGACGGAGCAACGCCGCGUGAGUGAAGAAGGUCUUCUGAUCGUAAAACUCUGUUAUUAGGGAAGAACAAAUGUGUAAGUAACUAUGCACGUCUUGACGGUACCUAAUCAGAAAGCCACGGCUAACUACGUG
rnacentral:rRNA from 1 species